GGAUUCGUAGCUCAGUUUUGGUUAGAGCGCCGCACUGUCACUGCGGAGGUCGCGAGUUCGAGUCUCGUCGAGUCCGCCA
rnacentral:tRNA from 1 species